AGUGAACGCUGGCGGUAGGCCUAACACAUGCAAGUCGAACGGCAGCACAGUAAGAGCUUGCUCUUACGGGUGGCGAGUGGCGGACGGGUGAGGAAUACAUCGGAAUCUACUUUUUCGUGGGGGAUAACGUAGGGAAACUUACGCUAAUACCGCAUACGACCUACGGGUGAAAGCAGGGGAUCUUCGGACCUUGCGCGAUUGAAUGAGCCGAUGUCGGAUUAGCUAGUUGGCGGGGUAAAGGCCCACCAAGGCGACGAUCCGUAGCUGGUCUGAGAGGAUGAUCAGCCACACUGGAACUGGGACACGGUCCGGACUCCAACGGGAGGCAGCAGUGGGGAAUAUUGGACAAUGGGCGCAAGCCUGAUCCAGCCAUACCGCGUGGGUGAAGAAGGCCUUCGGGUUGUAAAGCCCUUUUGUUGGGAAAGAAAAGCAGCAGGUUAAUACCCCGCUGUUCUGACGGUACCCAAAGAAUAAGCACCGGCUAACUUCGUG
rnacentral:rRNA from 1 species